GAUGAACGCUCGCUACAGGCUUAACACAUGCAAGUCGAGGGGAAACGAUGAGAGAGCUUGCUCUCUUAGUCGUCGACCGGCGCACGGGUGAGUAACGCGUAUCCAACCUGCCUCUGACCAAGGGAUAACCCGUCGAAAGUCGGACUAAUACCUUAUGCAGUCGUCGGAAGUCAUCUGAUGACGACGAAAGAUUUCAUCGGUGAGAGAUGGGGAUGCGUCUGAUUAGCUUGUUGGCGGGGUAACGGCCCACCAAGGCGACGAUCAGUAGGGGUUCUGAGAGGAAGGUCCCCCACAUUGGAACUGAGACACGGUCCAAACUCCUACGGGAGGCAGCAGUGAGGAAUAUUGGUCAAUGGGCGUAAGCCUGAACCAGCCAAGUAGCGUGCAGGAGGACGGCCCUAUGGGUUGUAAACUGCUUUUAUGCGGGGAUAAAGUGAGGGACGUGUCCUUCAUUGCAGGUACCGCAUGAAUAAGGACCGGCUAAUUCCGUG
rnacentral:rRNA from 1 species